rnacentral:rRNA from 1 species
UGCAAGUCGAACGGUGAAGCCCAGCUUGCUGGGUGGAUCAGUGGCGAACGGGUGAGUAACACGUGAGCAACCUGCCCUCCACUUCGGGAUAAGCCUUGGAAACGGGGUCUAAUACCGGAUAUGAGCUCGCAUCGCAUGGUGUGGGUUGGAAAGUUUUUCGGUGGGGGAUGGGCUCGCGGCCUAUCAGCUUGUUGGUGGGGUGAUGGCCUACCAAGGCGUCGACGGGUAGCCGGCCUGAGAGGGCGACCGGCCACACUGGGACUGAGACACGGCCCAGACUCCUACGGGAGGCAGCAGUGGGGAAUAUUGCACAAUGGGCGCAAGCCUGAUGCAGCGACGCCGCGUGAGGGAUGACGGCCUUCGGGUUGUAAACCUCUUUCAGCAGGGAAGAAGCGCAAGUGACGGUACCUGCAGAAGAAGCGCCGGCUAACUACGUGCCAGCAGCCGCGGUAAUACGUAGGGCGCAAGCGUUGUCCGGAAUUAUUGGGCGUAAAGAGCUCGUAGGCGGUCUGUCGCGUCUGGUGUGAAAUCCCGAGGCUCAACCUCGGGCUUGCAUCGGGUACGGGCAGACUAGAGUGCGGUAGGGGAGACUGGAAUUCCUGGUGUAGCGGUGGAAUGCGCAGAUAUCAGGAGGAACACCGAUGGCGAAGGCAGGUCUCUGGGCCGCAACUGACGCUGAGGAGCGAAAGCAUGGGGAGCGAACAGGAUUAGAUACCCUGGUAGUCCAUGCCGUAAACGUUGGGCACUAGGUGUGGGGCUCAUUCCACGAGUUCCGUGCCGCAGCUAACGCAUUAAGUGCCCCGCCUGGGGAGUACGGCCGCAAGGCUAAAACUCAAAGGAAUUGACGGGGGCCCGCACAAGCGGCGGAGCAUGCGGAUUAAUUCGAUGCAACGCGAAGAACCUUACCAAGGCUUGACAUGUACGAGAAAGCCCCCGAGACGGGGUUCUCUUUGGACACUCGUACACAGGUGGUGCAUGGUUGUCGUCAGCUCGUGUCGUGAGAUGUUGGGUUAAGUCCCGCAACGAGCGCAACCCUCGUCCUAUGUUGCCAGCGGGUUAUGCCGGGGACUCAUGGGAGACUGCCGGGGUCAACUCGGAGGAAGGUGGGGAUGACGUCAAAUCAUCAUGCCCCUUAUGUCUUGGGCUUCACGCAUGCUACAAUGGCCGGUACAGAGGGCUGCGAUACCGUAAGGUGGAGCGAAUCCCAAAAAGCCGGUCUCAGUU